GCGUUUUCCCCGACCUGGACCGCUGCUCCUGUGACAGUCUGUAGAACAACCUCUGUCAGCGCUGGACUGCACAACUAUGUUCUGUCAUUCCUCAGGAAGUAAGAAGUACAGGGCAGUUCUGGUGGAGCUUUGAUCCAGAUGGGGCCGUCUGAGAGCAUGAGUAAGACCCAGGAGCAGGGGCUCAACAAAGGAUGCUCAGUGCUGCAGGCGUGACCAACUUUAUAUGAUGAAGGAAAGGAGAGAGUCUCUGUUUUCAUCUUUCAUAUUUCAACUUCAGCACAUUCUUUUCCAACAAGCUCCCAUCUGAUUUCACGCAGCUCACACUGAUAUCUAAUCAGAGUCUUACGGGGAUUCAAAUUAAAUGCAGGGUCUACAAAAAAAUCACUCAAAUGA